AACCCAAAAUGGCGGCUGUAGAGUCUCUUGAGCGCGGGUCGAAGAGGUUUUAGUUUAAAUCGUGUCAAAGUGCCCCGGUUCUGACUGUAACUGUCAUUUUAUGGACAAAGAAAAGACGGAAACAGCGGCGGAGGCGGCGACAGGCGAAGCUACGACGCACUGAUGGAGGCCCAGAAUGGAGAGCCUCUACCAGGGGACAGUGGAAUGUUUGAUCCAGUGCACAAGGCACCUGAAGCAGACACAGAGGAGCCCAGAACAGACCCUGAGAUCAAAGAGGAGCUGCAGCAGAAAAUACACAAAGUACACAGUCUGGAGCAGGAGGAGUGUGAGGCG
ensembl:lncRNA